GGACGACGCUGGCGGCGUGCUUAACACAUGCAAGUCGAACGGAAAGGCCCAGCUUGCUGGGUACUCGAGUGGCGAACGGGUGAGUAACACGUGGGUGAUCUGCCCUGCACUCUGGGAUAAGCCUGGGAAACUGGGUCUAAUACCGGAUAUGACCAACUGUCGCAUGGUGGUUGGUGGAAAGCUUUUGCGGUGUGGGAUGGGCCCGCGGCCUAUCAGCUUGUUGGCGGGGUAAAGGCCCACCAAGGCGACGAUCCGUAGCUGGUCUGAGAGGAUGAUCAGCCACACUGGAACUGAGACACGGUCCAGACUCCUACGGGAGGCAGCAGUAGGGAAUAUUGGACAAUGGGCGCAAGCCUGAUCCAGCCAUGCCGCGUGAGUGAAGAAGGCCCUCGGGUUGUAAAGCUCUUUUGUCCGGAAAGAAAAGCGCCGGGUUAAUACCCUGGUGUCCUGACGGUACCGGAAGAAUAAGCACCGGCUAACUUCGUG
rnacentral:rRNA from 1 species